AGAAGGCCGACAUCACGGAAGCGAUCCGACCGCUUCAGCUCUGCAGUUUAGGCGCUUCUGGAACCUCCGGGCUUCACUAUCAUGCACCGCAUGGGCCAUCCUUCGAUUUUGUUUUUGUACAUCUUUUCUUCGAUUUCUUUCCACCGCAGUACACGCCGCGCGCAGAUCCCGCCGAUAACACGGCGACGAACGAUGCCGUGACGUAAUCGCGCCACUAGAUCUGACUGCAACAACGCAUGCGCGAAUAUCGGAGCAUCGUCGUGGAAAAAGUGUUACCCGCGGGCCGCCGACUUCCAUUUUGCUCUCGCCAGCCGGUCGCGCUGCGCAUGUUGCGAAGAGCAGUUCUUCGGCGCCAUGGAAUGGCUUGCCACGAUGUUCAGGCACGGGGCGUGUAGUUGCAGUACGUACGAGUCGCGUUUUAACUUUUUUCUUUGUGUGUGUGUGUGUGUGUGUGAACUUUACCUGGACAAUUAUGGAGCUGUGUGCCAGGAACUGCGUCGCCUGGAAUUCAUCGAGGACCACUGCGAGCUUCGUCGUCGGCAUCAAUUGGUAAGCCACAAUUGAUGGCAGGCCGGCGAGGUGUGGGGCGUGUUCACCGAACGUCACUCGCUAUAGUUUCCUAGCUCAACCGAGGUUAAAGGUUGCGUGGAACUUUAGCGAGCGGGUUCCUUGAAAACUGCUGCCACUUCGGGUCCGACUCCCCCGUGACACAGGCACGCGUACAGCUUUCAGGCUUAGCUUACGGUUAGGUAGGUAGGUAGCUUGUGAGAGGUUGUGUUCACGGGCGGACUCGACACCGGGAUGCUCGUGGCGCUCCCGCGGCCGUCAUUUCGUGCCAGACUUCUGGCGCGUAAUGCGGUCUUCGCGGGCCGCAAAGCGGCGUCCCGGUGUAAUUGCCUCGUCGGCUUGUCCCCACACUUCAAACAACUGGCAACGUUUGAACUUCAAGUCUGCACAACGCAACGCGUCGCGUCGGGGACCUGCUACGGGCGGAGCGCAGCUUCAACUUGGCUGCGAGACCAAGUGCACAUGGACCAGCCGUGGCUUCGCGCUCAAGCGUUAUUCGAGCGCUGACGUACUGACACGCCCCGUGCCACACCGGCGUAUCUUCCGCACUAUCGCCGACGAGUCUUGAUGGCGGACGUGCUCCCGGCAUUGGAUCGACUUUUCGACCUUCAAUCCGAUUCAGUGGGCGCCAUGUCUGAACCCACAUCGCCUUAAGUGUCCAGCCAGUGCCUCCAGGGGGCAAGGUGAUCCUCCUGUACUGUGGCCAAGGCAUCACUUGGUCCACGACUCUCCUUCGGGUUCCCACCUCUUGCUCAGCUUCUGCGGAGUGUAUCGUGCGUGGAAACCCAUCGCUGCAGCCUGCCCCUCUCCGUAUGAGGACUGUUUCGUGUUGCUGUUCGUCAUUGCUCUGCUGCGACUACUAGUGGAUGAGAAGUGGGAGGCACACUGCUGCUCACCCUGCCCCAGCGAGACUUAUGCCAGCAAUCUCUGGAUCCGCCCAGGGCGACCAGCUCUUCAUAAUACUCUGUGCAACGCAUUUGUGCCGGUGAUUUAUAGCCUAGCGAUGCACUGUGUUGUGGGAAGAAUAAGCCAAUGGUUUGCAGAAUCUACCUGUUUAAAAAUAUUAGUAUGCUGUGCUAUACAGUGCAUCUCGUGUUCUUAGAGACUGUCAAAUAUAUUGGACCAAUGUCGUCGAUUAAAAUUGCACCAAUGUAACGUUUCGUGCAAUAUUUCACCAUGCUAAUGUUUCACCACCAUAUACAAUCGCAGUGCGAUUGAUCGACCCAUCUACAUGUUUUUGUUGGCCAUAUGAUAGAGGCAUCCACUCACAUUGUGCAUUGUAGUGGCAUAUUGAUGCUCUUUUGUGUUAAACUGCAUGGAAAGCUGUGCAAAUUCGUACGAAUUCGUGUUCUAUAACUCUGUACGGCAGGGAGGCUCCUUCUGUGUGCAUGUGUUUGUUGCGUAUUUUGGGCGAUACGCGUUCCAUGUCACCCAUUCACAACUUGACUCGGUAGCUCCUUCGGUUCAGUUUUGAGGUUAUUGUGUGGAUGCACUCGGCAGGUUCUCAUUUGUCCAAGCGGUUAAGCGGUUCAGCUGAAGCAUCACCAAUCGUUACGUGGGGGUGAUCGAGUCUUCACUUCUUUGGAAUCUGUUCGCUUCGGACGUCCCGGUUGGAGGGAGUCCGGAGCAUUGGUAUAUGGUCCAAUGCUAACACUUGAACAUCUUCCUGCGUAUAGUGCAUGACUUUGUCUAAGUACCUGCUACAUCCUUGGGUUCGUCUCCGCUGGUAUAUGCUUUCAAACUCUGCAGUCUCCUUUGCAUGCUUCAGUCUUGCUUCACUUGUAACAUGCAAGACCAUCAAUAUGCCAAAAAGCACACGAUGUGACUGGAGGGGUAUGUGGGGGCGGGCCAUAAUUAUGGCAAACAAAAACUUGUAGCUGGAUGGGAGUCUGUUUUGACAUGUGUGGCGUGUAAUGCUUACCUUUUUAGUCUGGUACUGUAGUGUUCUUCUAUAUGCUUUUGUAGGAAAUGUAUACAGGGGACAAGCACCGUGUGGCAGCACAAUGGUGUACUGUACUUUUUGAGUGAAGACUGUUUCUCGGUAAAGUUCUAGAAUGUUGACACAUUGUUAGUCGGGGAAUCAUGCGUACGUGCGUGCUGUUGAGCACCCUUUGAAUGUUGAAGUUGUUUUGGCCAGAUACAACAGCUAUAGCCGGAUACAACUUUCGAAAACUGGAGAGGCCCUGCCCAGAUAACCGAAGCGCGGCAGCCGGUUGCCUCGGUGACUACAGAAAUAGUCGUGCUCAUGCACUCGGCAGUGUUCUCCAAAGGUGGGGUCUCGCCAUCAGUCAAGCUGUUGAUGUCAGCCUGGAGUGUGUGCCCAUGGGUGCAGGCUUGUGUGAAUGCACCUUUGAGGAGGAAAUGCCGCUGGCUUCUAAAGUUGUAUCCGUCAGUCUGGUAGGGUGCAAAGUUUUAUUUCAAGACUUUAUUAGUGAAACAUCAUUUAAUGAAAAAAUGCUUAGAAGUAUUGAAGCUUGUGUUAAAUUGGUUGUUAUUUGCUGCUCUGCAAAUCUGCUGCUGUACAAUGUUCCUUUCUAGUAUUGUUCCACAUUUACCAAGUACUUCUAGGCCUCUACCAUUGUAUUUUUUUCUUCCUUUUGCUAAGACAUAUUGUUGCUACAUGGCUUGUCCGAUUGCGAGUAUGUAUCAGUAUGCCGUAUGUUGUCCGUUCUAAUCCAUAGUACUACCACUUGUCUUCACCCAGUAAAGUGUGAAUUUCCAUGUAGAUACUAUCUUUAUGCCCAGACUAUACGUGCAGGUUUCCAAACCGUAUUCUUUGUCAAAGAACUUGUGCUGCUGUGUUCGUUCACAUUCUUUGUGUACCAAAUAUAAAUUUUGUGGUCGCUACAAUUUGUUCAAAUAAAACGUACAUUGUGUGUUAUGUUAUCUUUCUUAUGGAGCGCUCGCUGGUGCUCAGCUAGUCGAGCACUUCUCUGCACAGUCGGGCUUGCCAUACCAGGUAAGGUG